AUUGAACGCUGGCGGCAUGCCUUACACAUGCAAGUCGAACGGCAGCACGGGAGCAAUCCUGAUGGCGAGUGGCGAACGGGUGAGUAAUACAUCGGAACGUGCCCAAUCGUGGGGGAUAACGCAGCGAAAGCUGUGCUAAUACCGCAUACGAUCUACGGAUGAAAGCAGGGGAUCGCAAGACCUUGCGCGAAUGGAGCGGCCGAUGGCAGAUUAGGUAGUUGGUGAGGUAAAGGCUCACCAAGCCGUCGAUCUGUAGCUGGUCUGAGAGGACGACCAGCCACACUGGGACUGAGACACGGCCCAGACUCCUACGGGAGGCAGCAGUGGGGAAUUUUGGACAAUGGGCGAAAGCCUGAUCCAGCCAUGCCGCGUGCAGGAUGAAGGCCUUCGGGUUGUAAACUGCUUUUGUACGGAACGAAACGGCCUUUUCUAAUAAAGAGGGCUAAUGACGGUACCGUAAGAAUAAGCACCGGCUAACUACGUGCCAGCAGCCGCGGUAAUACGUAGGGUGCAAGCGUUAAUCGGAAUUACUGGGCGUAAAGCGUGCGCAGGCGGUUAUGUAAGACAGUUGUGAAAUCCCCGGGCUCAACCUGGGAACUGCAUCUGUGACUGCAUAGCUAGAGUACGGUAGAGGGGGAUGGAAUUCCGCGUGUAGCAGUGAAAUGCGUAGAUAUGCGGAGGAACACCGAUGGCGAAGGCAAUCCCCUGGACCUGUACUGACGCUCAUGCACGAAAGCGUGGGGAGCAAACAGG
rnacentral:rRNA from 1 species